UAGAUUCUUAAUUAAAUUAAAAUUAAAGAUUAACAAAUAUAAUCAAACAUCAAAUCAAAUUCAAUCAAAAUUUCAAAAGAAUUAUGUAAAAAAUACAAAUUAUACUUAAAAAACCUUUAAAAAAUAUAUAAAGAAAUAAUAUAGAAUUCAAAAAUAUUCUAAAAUAGAAAUAUUAAUAAAAUAUUAAAAUAGAAAUCUUAAUUAAAUCCUAAUCAAAUCUUAAUGAAAUUCUUAAAUCAAUCUUGGUCAAAUUCUAAUAAAUCCUAAUCAAAUCCUAAUCAAAUCUCAAUCAAAUAUUAAAUAAACCUUAACCAAAUUCUAGUGAAAUCCUAAAUAAAUGUUAACCAAAUCCUAAUAAAAUCCUAAAAAAGUCAUAAAAAAAUCUUAAUCAAAUCCUAAAUAAAUUUUAAUCAAACCAUAAUAAAUCAUUUUCAAAUUUUAAUCAAAUUUUAAUCAAAUUCUAAAUAAAUCAUAGUCAAAAUCUAAUAAAAUUCUUAUCAAAUCCUAAUCAAAUCUUGACCAAAUCCUAAAUAAAUUCUAAUCAAAUCCUAAGAAAUCUUAACUAAAUUCUAAUCAAAUCUUAAUAAAACUCUAAACAAACUCUAACCAAAUCUUAAACAAAUCCUAAAAAAAUACUAAACAAAUCUUAAAGAAAUUCUAAAUAAAUUUUAAAUAAAUCCUAACCAAAUCCUAACCAAAUCCUAACCAAAUCCUAACCAAAUUCUAAAUAAAUCCUAACCAAACUCUAAAAAAAUCCUAAC
rnacentral:lncRNA from 1 species